rnacentral:rRNA from 1 species
AUGGCUCAGCGGUAUGAGUACUCAGGGUUUGAGCGUGAUGAGUCGGUGCAUGAAUUGCCGGAGGAUGAACAUAUUAUAGACGACCUUCUAGUAGCAAAGAAGCAUAGGAAGAGACCGAGGAAAGGCAACGAAGCUGCUUCUAUGAGGCAGCCGCCUCCGCAGCCUCGGGUUCAAGACCAUAUACUUGUCAUAGGUGUGGCGAAAUACCAUAUCCCCGGUGAUCCGAUCCUACCUAAGGAAGUGGUAGAGGCCAUAUACGGCGAUCUCAGGAGACUUCAUGACGAUGUGCUGCGAAGAGUAAAAAGCCUGACCGCCUCACAAAAUCCAUGA